UGGUGGCCAGUGACUUCAGUUUUUCAGGCCUAUCAGCAAUCCAAUAAAUAAAUAAAUGACGAAGGUAUGGAUUUUGAAGGGUUGACGCCAGUGAGGAGUGGAAGAGGGAGAGGACAUGGAAGAAAUAAAACAGAUGUAGGAAAGGGAAUUCAAGGCAGUAAACGAGAACUGGAAGGAAGUAGUUCAGACGAAGAAAGGAUAGUUAGGAAGAACGUUGUGAGGAAGGAAUUUAAAAUAAUAUUAAAACUUGAGAAUGAGAAGCAAGAAGCAAGCAAGAACAGGAUAACAUCAGCCCCAUUGUGGAGUCAAGAGAAAUGAAAAAGAAAAUUGGAGAUGUUGAAAUGGUAAAUAUUUUGAGAGAUGGAAACCUUUUGGUAGUUUGUAAAAAUGAAGAAAAGAUGAAUAAUGCUUUAAAUGUGUAUAAUAUCUGUAAAAAAAAAACUCUGUAGGAGAAAAAAAUCAUGGGAGAAAAUAAAAAGAUAAGAGGAGUUAUUUAUGGGAUCCCUUUAGAUGAAGAUCUUGAUAAACUUAAGAGAAGUAUUGUGGGUGCAAAAGUGAAUAACUUGAAGAGAUUGUCAAAAACAAUAAAUGGAGAAAAAGUAGGAAGUUUAUCAAUCUUGAUUGAAUUUGAAGAAAAAGAGCUGCUACAAAACUUUCAAAUAGGUUAUCUCAGUUUUCAGGUUAGACCUUAUAUCCCUCCACCACUUUGUUGUUUCAAAUGUCAAAGGUAAGGACACAUAGCAGCAGUUUGUAAAGGGAAGCAGAGAUGUCCAAAAUGUGGGGAAGAUCACAAUUUUGAAGAAUGUAAAGUACAAGAAAAAUGUUGUAACUGUGGAGGUUACGUAUUGAGGAUGUGAAGUAAGAAAGAAGGCAAAAGAAAUCAUAAAGAUUAAAAUAACUAAAAAAGAUAUGUGUCAGAAUUCUGUUUUCCGUUCUCCACCUGCGGCUUGUUAAGGCUGCUCUACUCGAGCUUAAAGGGAGUGCUCAGUCAGCUGGAAGAUGCCAGAGUGUUACCCCGUUGUGGUAUGCCUAGGCCAUAGCCCUGUCAACUGAUCUUCGUUCCUGUGAGUUUUUGAGAUUCCUGAAUUUUGGCUCUAACUCUGUCUCUUGUCUUCAUCAGUUAGUCGUGUUCUGGAUUUACUCACCCGUGUUGUCUCCGUGCACCGAAGACUGGUCCCUGAAUCCCUGCUGCUUAGAUUUUGCUCUGGCAUUCCCCUCUAGCCAACUUGGUGUUACCAAGCCGGACAAGAGAUUCCCCUUCCUGAAUUCACCCUGGUUCUUCCAGCUGCUCCUCCUGCCUGCCUCCGCUUUGAUGCUGCUCGGGCUCCCCACCUAUGUUCCGUCUGCCAGCUCACCUGUCGCUCAGCCAUCUCCCUCCAUCAGAGAGUAUAAGGUCACAGAACUCCUCCUUCCACUCAUCCUCCCCAGAUAGGUCCUCCCUACCAAGCGUACCCUUCGCUCUGACGUCCCAACCUCGUCUGUUGCUCACAUUGCGUGCAUUAAAUUUGUGUUGAGCCUUUAAUUAAACAUCUUAAACUGU